CAGUUCAUCUUAGGUUAAUGCAAUUGUGAGAGGAGAAUUAGUAACUUCUGCUUCAGGCAUAGAAUACUGCAGUUUAGUACGUCAUCCUAGCUAUUACCCAGUUAGCCAAUUUUAUAAUCUGCGAUUUCAUUAUGCAGCAAAAGAUUUAAUUUCUAUUUCUAUAACCAUCCCAAAACAAGUGACUUGGUGGCAUACAUCUGGGAGGUGUACAUCAUUUUAAAAUGAUUGUCUGAAUAAGUCCUUAACCAGUUACAUCAGCAAUCUCCAACCUUUUGGGUACCAGGGACCAGUUCUGUGGAAUAUAUACAUAACAUAGAUACAUACUUACAUAUAUGGAUGGUAUAGUGUACUUACGUUAUAGUACUCCAAACAAUGCAUUGAAAAUAUGUCUUAAAUUGAAAGGGGAGAAAUUUGAACCCAACACUAAAAAAAAAUUGUGUCAGAUAUAAUGAUGUCAGUGAUGAAUGUUCUUCUUUCUGUCUGCCUCCCCCUCCACAAGUUAAUUAGCUUUUGCAAAAAAUGUCAUUUAUUUAGGUAUGGCUUGCCAGUUAAUUUCCAGGCUAUGCUCCUUCAACCCAACAAGAGAACAAUGAAGAAAUUGAGAGAGAUCCUCUAUGAUUUGUACAAACAUCUUGAUAGUAGUGCUGCAGCAAUCAUUGAUGCAACCAUGGAUAUUCCAGGUUUGAAUCUCAGUCAGCAAGAAUACUAUCCUUACGUGUACUACAAGAUAGACUGCAACUUGCUUGACUUCAAGUAGCUUCUUUCUGAACCUAGUGAUCCUCUCAUAGUGUUGAUGUACAAGCAAAAAAGGUUGAAGAAUGUCGCUCCUAAAUCUCUCAUAAACCCGUGCUUGCUUCUUUCUCCCUUUGCAUAGGAGAACAAUCCCCUUGGUGGUUGAUCCCUUGACAUUUUCUUUUUAAAGAGAAAUGUAAUUAUUGUUUUUAAUAGAUCAGGUAUGUAAUUGUAUAUUGAGAGAAUCAAGAGUGUAUUUAUAAAUAGUCCUUUAUUUAAAGAGUAAGAAACAAAAAGAGGUCAUUCCGCUUUCAUGCCAUGCCUCAUCAAGACCUUGUUUAUAUGACAAGAUAGUGGGGAAACAUGCCAUCGUUCACUGUGUUUUUCAUAGAUGUGCUAUAAACAUUGUAAUUGAAUUGUGAUGUAAAAUAUGUGCAGACUGAUAUUCAGUCGAUGCUUUCUGAAUGUUUUAAGUUUACAAGAUACUAAGCACUGCAUCCACCUAAGAAAAUAAAAACACCUGUACAAUU